rnacentral:rRNA from 1 species
UACGAAGGGGGCUAGCGUUGCUCGGAAUCACUGGGCGUAAAGCGCACGUAGGCGGAUUGUUAAGUCAGGGGCGAAAUCCUGGAGCUCAACUCCAGAACUGCCUUUGAUACUGGCGAUCUCGAGUCCGGGAGAGGUGAGUGGAACUCCGAGUGUAGAGGUGAAAUUCGUAGAUAUUCGGAAGAACACCAGUGGCGAAGGCGGCUCACUGGCCCGGUACUGACGCUGAUGUGCGAAAGCGUGGGGAGCAAACAGG